GACGAACGCUGGCGGCGUGCUUAACACAUGCAAGUCGAACGGAAAGGCCCUGCUUUUGUGGGGUGCUCGAGUGGCGAACGGGUGAGUAACACGUGAGUAACCUGCCCUUGACUUUGGGAUAACUUCAGGAAACUGGGGCUAAUACCGGAUAGGAGCUCCUGCUGCAUGGUGGGGGUUGGAAAGUUUCGGCGGUUGGGGAUGGACUCGCGGCUUAUCAGCUUGUUGGUGGGGUAGUGGCUUACCAAGGCUUUGACGGGUAGCCGGCCUGAGAGGGUGAACGGCCACAUUGGGACUGAGAUACGGCCCAGACUCCUACGGGAGGCAGCAGUGGGGAAUAUUGCACAAUGGGCGGAAGCCUGAUGCAGCAACGCCGCGUGCGGGAUGACGGCCUUCGGGUUGUAAACCGCUUUCGCCUGUAACGAAGCGUGAGUGACGGUAAUGGGUAAAGAAGCACCGGCUAACUACGUG
rnacentral:rRNA from 1 species